AGUCUUAGAAGCUAAACAGCAGUUAA
rnacentral:tRNA from 1 species